UACGUAGGGGGCUAGCGUUGUCCGGAAUCAUUGGGCGUAAAGAGCGUGUAGGCGGUCCGGUAAGUCCGCUGUGAAAGUCGGGGGCUCAACCCUCGGAUGCCGAUCGAUACUGUCGGGCUAGAGUCCGGAAGAGGCGAGUGGAAUUCCUGGUGUAGCGGUGAAAUGCGCAGAUAUCAGGAGGAACACCAAUGGCGAAGGCAGCUCGCUGGGACGGUACUGACGCUGAGGCGCGAAAGCGUGGGGAGCAAACAGG
rnacentral:rRNA from 1 species